AGCGGCGGACGGGUGAGUAACACGAGGGUAACCUGCCCAAGAGACUGGGAUAACACCUGGAAACAGAUGCUAACACCGGAUAACAACACUAGACGCAUGUCUAGAGUUUGAAAGAUGGUUCUGCUAUCACUCUUGGAUGGACCUGCGGUGCAUUAGCUAGUUGGUAAGGUAACGGCUUACCAAGGCAAUGAUGCAUAGCCGAGUUGAGAGACUGAUCGGCCACAUUGGGACUGAGACACGGCCCAAACUCCUACGGGAGGCAGCAGUAGGGAAUCUUCCACAAUGGACGAAAGUCUGAUGGAGCAACGCCGCGUGAGUGAAGAAGGGUUUCGGCUCGUAAAGCUCUGUUGGUAGUGAAGAAAGAUAGAGGUAGUAACUGGCCUUUAUUUGACGGUAAUUACUUAGAAAGUCACGGCUAACUACGUGCCAGCAGCCGCGGUAAUACGUAGGUGGCAAGCGUUGUCCGGAUUUAUUGGGCAUAAAGCGAGUGCAGGCGGUUCAAUAAGUCUGAUGUGAAAGCCUUCGGCUCAACCGGAGAAUUGCAUCAGAAACUGUUGAACUUGGGUGCAGAAGAGGAGAGUGGAACUCCAUGUGUAGCGGUGGAAUGCGUAGAUAUAUGGAAGAACACCAGUGGCGAAGGCGGCUCUCUGGUCUGCAACUGACGCUGAGGCUCGAAAGCAUGGGUAGCGAACAGGAUUAGAUACCCUGGUAGUCCAUGCCGUAAACGAUGAGUGCUAAGUGU
rnacentral:rRNA from 1 species